GUUUAUGACAAUGAAACUAAUGACCAUGUUAACAUCAGAGGAAAAGCAAACUGGGAGAAGAAAGGACAACAUUGUUUUCGAUCUUGAAGGCCUGCGUAGACAUAGGACCAGGAAGGGGAGCUAGGAGUGGGAGAAGUGCCUGUGACUGAUAUAUGCACUAUCAGAUAGAAAUCCAGUUCAAAAGGAAAUCUGAAAUAGUGAAAUAGCAGAAAUCAUGACUUACAUACUGUGUAAUCUGCUCUAAAACACAAACAUUUGAAUUUAAAAUGUGUUAAAUGCAAAACAGUUCUACUUACAAAAUGAAUCUUUCAGUAAAUUCUAAAUGCAGCUGAAAAGUGAUAUACAUGAAAUGUGUGAAAACAGUGCAAGUUAAGUUUGAUUUUUUGUUGUAUACAAAACUGAAGAACUUGUAUCCAAUUCAUUUUCUGGAUGCACAGUGUUAUUGGAAUUUUUUUCAGAUAAUUUAAAAUUCUACAAGGUGAAGAUAUUUCAAAUAGUAUCUCGAGAAAAAAAGUUUGCACAAUGAAUUGUUUUUCAAAAAUU